rnacentral:rRNA from 1 species
AAUCAACGCUGGCGGCGUGCCUAACACAUGCAAGUCGAACGCGAAAGUUCCUUCGGGGAUGAGUAGAGUGGCGUCCGGGUGAGUAACACGUGGGUAAUCUGCCUCCGGGUGGGGAAUAACACCUCGAAAGAGGUGCUAAUACCGCAUAAUGCAGCGGCACCUAAUGGUGAUUAGUUGUUAAAGCGGGGGAUCGCAAGACCUCGCGCCUGAAGAGGAGCCUGCGGCCGAUUAGCUAGUUGGCGAGGUAACGGCUCACCAAGGCUUCGAUCG